UUUCUCUGAAAGUCGGUUUUUGUUUGUAUUGGGAUGUCUAUAGAGUCGCGGGACAGUUUUUUUCCGGUAUCUCGCAAACACACUGUCUGCGGGGUCUCUAGUUGCUCAAUUGAGCGGGCUCCGAGCUGGGGUAGGACGUUUCACCUCUCAGGCCCCCGGCUUGUGCCGUGAGAGGGCAGAAUUAAACGUUUGAGAGAGUGGUGAAUAUACUGCUACAAAGGCAAACUUUUGCUUCAUAAAGAUGGUGAUACAGCAUUGAAAAAGACCCACCACAUCCCUCAGGCCAUCCAGUGCAUGGACAUCUUGUGCCAGUGUGAUCCAGCACGAGAGUCAGUUGUAGAGGCUACAGCCGAUCGAGCAUGCGGACGGACAGACAUGAGGCAUGACAUGCAGAAGAUCUUCAGGCUCCCCCCAUGAGAAGCAGUGCAUGAUGUUCAAUGCUACCCCCUUAAGGAGAUCUGGUGGAAGUAAUGGCUCUCCCAUUCUGAGAUGUAUUCUCUCUCUCUUGCUCUCUGUCUAGUUAAGCAGUCCAGAUGAUUUUCGUAGGGUGUGUCCAUAGGCCUAAUGGUAAAAUGCACAUGUGGGCGUACUUUAAGGGUACUCCGGGCAGAGAGAAAUUCAAUUAGUGAUGCUGUAGCCGAAAAAGGUUGGGAACUACUGCUCUAUGACAGACCACUCCUAAAAAGUAAAUUUUAAGAUUUGUCUCUGGAUGUCUCAACAAUAAAUAUGU